rnacentral:rRNA from 1 species
AUUGAACGCUGGCGGCAGGCCUAACACAUGCAAGUCGAGCGGAGCGGCGGACGGGUGAGUAAUGCCUAGGAAUCUGCCUGGUAGUGGGGGAUAACGUCCGGAAACGGGCGCUAAUACAGCAUACUAUCAGCUGAGCCUAGGUCGGGUUAGCUAGUUGGUGGGGUAAAGCCCUACCAAGGCGACGAUCCGUAACGGGUCUGAGAGGAUGAUCAGUCACACGGGAACUGGGACACGGUCCAGACCCCUAGGGGAGGCCGCAGUGGGGAACAUUGGACAAUGGGGGAAAGCCUGAUCCAGCCAUGCCGGGUGUGUGAAGAAGGUCUUCGGAUUGUAAAGCACUUUAAGUUGGGAGGCGUUACCAACAGAAUAAGCACCGGCUAACUUCGUGCCAGCCGCCGCGGUAAUAC